rnacentral:rRNA from 1 species
UAGCGACUCUCGGCAACGGAUAUCUCGGCUCUCGCAUCGAUGAAAAACGUAGCGAAAUGCGAUACUUGGUGUGAAUUGCAGAAUCCCGUGAACCAUCGAGUCUUUGAACUCAAGUUGCGCCCGAAGCCUUCGGGCCGAGGGUACGUCUGCCUGGGCGUCACG